rnacentral:rRNA from 1 species
AACGAACGCUGGCGGCAUGCCUAACACAUGCAAGUCGAACGAUUGCCUUCGGGUGAUAGUGGCGCACGGGUGCGUAACGCGUGGGAAUCUGCCCUUAGGUUCGGAAUAACAGCUGGAAACGGCUGCUAAUACCGGAUGAUAUCGCGAGAUCAAAGAUUUAUCGCCUGAGGAUGAGCCCGCGUUGGAUUAGGUAGUUGGUGGGGUAAAGGCCUACCAAGCCGACGAUCCAUAGCUGGUCUGAGAGGAUGAUCAGCCACACUGGGACUGAGACACGGCCCAGACUCCUACGGGACGCAGCAGUGGGGAAUAUUGGACAAUGGGCGCAAGCCUGAUCCAGCAAUGCCGCGUGAGUGAUGAAGGCCCUAGGGUUGUAAAGCUCUUUUACCCGGGAAGAUAAUGACUGUACCGGGAGAAUAAGCCCCGGCUAACUCCGUG